CAUUAUUCCCGUUAUCGCUAUUGUUGUUGCUGCUGUUAUUUUUUUCAUUAUUGUUCUUCUUCAUCCCACUCCUUCCGAUUCCAUCGUUAUUCCAUCCUCGUUGCAGCCUUCCCCGCAUCCAUCGCCUCCUUGUCCAACCACCACCACCGGCGCCCCAUGCCGCCGUCACCGCGAGCAUCGCUCACGUCCGCUCACCUACUCAUCCACAGAUUCAGCCAUAGCUAUCACAAAGCUGGUGCAAGUGGCGGCAGAAGAUGAGGAGAGAAAGGCAGUGGCGAAAGGGGCGAGGAGAAGGGGGUGCCAGGCGGCGGAAGGAGCGAGGAGGAGGGGGUGGGGAGCAGGGAGUAUAUGGAGAAGAAGGGAUUGUUGGAGAGAGAGAGAGGGACAUGUGAGAGCAUAGGAGAACACUGAGAAGUGGAAUAGGGAGAUGUACGAUACUGGAAAGAAGUGGGAU
rnacentral:lncRNA from 1 species